rnacentral:rRNA from 1 species
CCUACGGGUGGCAGCAGUGAGGAAUAUUGGUCAAUGGGCGUAAGCCUGAACCAGCCAAGUCGCGUGCGGGAUGAAGGUUCUAUGGAUCGUAAACCUCUUUUAUAAUGGGAUAAAGUGUGGGACGUGUCCUGUUUUGUAUGUACCUUAUGAAUAAGGAUCGGCUAACUCCGUGCCAGCAGCCGCGGUAAUACGGAGUAUCCGAGCGUUAUCCGGAUUUAUUGGGUUUAAAGGGUGCGUAGGCGGCCUUUUAGGUCAGCGGUGAAAGUCUGUGGCUCAACCAUAGAAUUGCCGUUGAAACUGGGAUGCUUGAGUAUGUUUGAGGCAGGUGGAAUGCGUGGUGUAGCGGUGAAAUGCUUAGAUAUCACGAAGAACCCCGAUUGCGAAGGCAGCCUGCCAAGCCAUGACUGACGCUGAUGCACGAAAGCGUGGGGAUCAAACAGGAUUAGAUACCCGUGUAGUC